ACGGGAGGCAGCAGUGGGGAAUUUUGGACAAUGGGCGCAAGCCUGAUCCAGCCAUGCCGCGUGAGUGAAGAAGGCCUUCGGGUUGUAAAGCUCUUUCGGCGGGGAAGAAAUCGCACAGGUUAAUACCCUGGGUGGAUGACGGUACCCGAAUAAGAAGCACCGGCUAACUACGUGCCAGCAGCCGCGGUAAUACGUAGGGUGCGAGCGUUAAUCGGAAUUACUGGGCGUAAAGCGUGCGCAGGCGGUUUUGUAAGUCAGAUGUGAAAUCCCCGGGCUCAACCUGGGAACUGCAUUUGAGACUGCAAGGCUAGAGUGUGGCAGAGGGGGGUAGAAUUCCACGUGUAGCAGUGAAAUGCGUAGAGAUGUGGAGGAAUACCGAUGGCGAAGGCAGCCCCCUGGGCCAAUACUGACGCUCAUGCACGAAAGCGUGGGGAGCAAACAGGAUUAGAUACCCUGGUAGU
rnacentral:rRNA from 1 species